rnacentral:rRNA from 1 species
GGUUAAGCGACUAAGCGUACACGGUGGAUGCCCUGGCAGUCAGAGGCGAUGAAGGGCGUGCUAAUCUGCGAUAAGCGCCGGUAAGGUGAUAUGAACCGUUAUAACCGGCGAUACCCGAAUGGGGAAACCCAGUGUGACUCGUCACACUAUCAUUAACUGAAUCCAUAGGUUAAUGAGGCGAACCGGGGGAACUGAAACAUCUAAGUACCCCGAGGAAAAGAAAUCAACCGAGAUUCCCCCAGUAGCGGCGAGCGAACGGGGAGGAGCCCAGAGCCUGAAUCAGCAUGUGUGUUAGUGGAAGCGUCUGGAAAGGCGCGCGAUACAGGGUGACAGCCCCGUACACAAAAGCGCAUGUGCUGUGAGCUCGAUGAGUAGGGCGGGACACGUGGUAUCCUGUCUGAAUAUGGGGGGACCAUCCUCCAAGGCUAAAUACUCCUGACUGACCGAUAGUGAACCAGUACCGUGAGGGAAAGGCGAAAAGAACCCCGGCGAGGGGAGUGAAAAAGAACCUGAAACCGUGUACGUACAAGCAGUGGGAGCACAGGUUUACCUGUGUGACUGCGUACCUUUUGUAUAAUGGGUCAGCGACUUAUAUUCUGUAGCAAGGUUAACCGCAUAGGGGAGCCGGAGGGAAACCGAGUCUUAAUUGGGCGUUAAGUUGCAGGGUAUAGACCCGAAACCCGGUGAUCUAGCCAUGGGCAGGUUGAAGGUUGGGUAACACUAACUGGAGGACCGAACCGACUAAUGUUGAAAAAUUAGCGGAUGACCUGUGGCUGGGGGUGAAAGGCCAAUCAAACCGGGAGAUAGCUGGUUCUCCCCGAAAGCUAUUUAGGUAGCGCCUCGUGAAUUCAUCUCCGGGGGUAGAGCACUGUUUCGGCUAGGGGGCCAUCCCGGCUUACCAACCCGAUGCAAACUGCGAAUACCGGAGAAUGUUAUCACGGGAGACACACGGCGGGUGCUAACGUCCGUCGUGAAGAGGGAAACAACCCAGACCGCCAGCUAAGGUCCCAAAGUCAUGGUUAAGUGGGAAACGAUGUGGGAAGGCCCAGACAGCCAGGAUGUUGGCUUAGAAGCAGCCAUCAUUUAAAGAAAGCGUAAUAGCUCACUGGUCGAGUCGGCCUGCGCGGAAGAUGUAACGGGGCUAAACCAUGCACCGAAGCUGCGGCAGCGAACGUAUCACUUAAAGCGAUUCAGCGGGUUACGAUUGACGGAGCGAAGCGACGUCAAAGCGUAUACAAAGUCGAGUCGGUUUAAGGAUACGUUCGUUGGGUAGGGGAGCGUUCUGUAAGCCUGCGAAGGUGGCCUGUGAGGGUUGCUGGAGGUAUCAGAAGUGCGAAUGCUGACAUAAGUAACGAUAAAGCGGGUGAAAAGCCCGCUCGCCGGAAGACCAAGGGUUCCUGUCCAACGUUAAUCGGGGCAGGGUGAGUCGACCCCUAAGGCGAGGCCGAAAGGCGUAGUCGAUGGGAAACGGGUUAAUAUUCCCGUACUUGGUGUUACUGCGAAGGGGGGACGGAGAAGGCUAUGUUGGCCGGGCGACGGUUGUCCCGGUUUAAGCGUGUAGGUGUGUGUUCCAGGUAAAUCCGGUUCACUUUAACACUGAGGCGUGAUGACGAGGCACUACGGUGCUGAAGCAACAAAUGCCCUGCUUCCAGGAAAAGCCUCUAAGCAUCAGGUAA